AACGAACGCUGGCGGCAGGCUUAACACAUGCAAGUCGAACGCCCCGCAAGGGGAGUGGCAGACGGGUGAGUAACGCGUGGGAACAUACCCUUUCCUGCGGAAUAGCUCCGGGAAACUGGAAUUAAUACCGCAUACGCCCUACGGGGGAAAGAUUUAUCGGGGAAGGAUUGGCCCGCGUUGGAUUAGCUAGUUGGUGGGGUAAAGGCCUACCAAGGCGACGAUCCAUAGCUGGUCUGAGAGGAUGAUCAGCCACAUUGGGACUGAGACACGGCCCAAACUCCUACGGGAGGCAGCAGUGGGGAAUAUUGGACAAUGGGCGCAAGCCUGAUACAGCCAUGCCGCGUGAGUGAUGAAGGCCUUAGGGUUGUAAAGCUCUUUCACCGAUGAAGAUAAUGACGGUAGUCGGAGAAGAAGCCCCGGCUAACUUCGUG
rnacentral:rRNA from 1 species